GACGAACGCUGGCGGCGUACCUAAUACAUGCAAGUAGGACGCAGUUGCGAACGGGUGCGUAACGCGUAGGUCACUGGCUAUUAGAGUGGGAUAACUAUUGGAUACGAUCGCUAAUACCGCAUACUAGUAGAUGGACCUGCGUUGUAUUAGCUAGUAGGUAGGGUAAUGGCCUACCUAGGCGACGAUACAUAGCCGAGUUGGGGGGGAGAACGGGCAAACUGGGACCGGGACCAGGGCCAGACUCCUAAGGGGGGGAGGAGUAGGGAAUCUUCGGAAAUGGGGGGAAAGCUGAACGAGCAACGCCGCGGGAGUGAAGAAGGGUUUCGGAUCGUAAAGGCCUGUUGUUAAGGAAGCGGUACCUAACCAGAAAGGGACGGCUAACUACGUGCCAGCAGCCGCGGUAAUAC
rnacentral:rRNA from 1 species